GCCGGGUGUAGUGGCACACGCCUGUAAUCCCAGCUACUUGGGAGGCUGAGGCAGGAGAAUCACUUGAACCCGGGAGGUAGGGGUUGCAGUGAGCUGAGAUUGUGCCACUGCACUCUAGCCUGGGUGACAGAGUGAGACUCUGUCUCAA
ensembl:misc_RNA Metazoa_SRP Metazoan signal recognition particle RNA